rnacentral:rRNA from 1 species
UACAAAAACAUGUCUGUGUGAAAUUAAUUAUAAAGUCUAGCCUGCCCACUGAUUUAGUUAAAGGGCCGCGGUAAUUUGACCGUGCGAAGGUAGCAUAGUCAGUAGUCUUUUAAUUGAAGGCUUGAAUGAAUGGUUGGACGAGGGAUAAGCUGUCUCCUUUACGUGGCUUGAAUUUAACUUCUGAGUGAAAAGGCUCAGAUUAUUUAAUGGGACGAUAAGACCCUAUAAAACUUAAUAUGAGUCUAGCUUGGUCUAUGACGUAAGUGAAAAGUUGCUUUGCUUGGCUAAUAUUUCGUUGGGGAGAUGAAGAUAUAAAAUGUAACUGUCUAUUAAAUUUAAUAGUGUUAAUUAGUGUUUGAUCCUUCUUUGUGGAUUAAAAGAAUAAGUUACUUUAGGGAUAACAGCGUGAUUUUCUUUGAGAGUCCUUAUCGACAAGAUUAGUUGCGACCUCGAUGUUGAAUUAAAGUUUCAGCUAGGUGUAGCCGUUUAGCUGGUGGGUCUGUUCGACCCUUAAAACUUUACGUGAUCUGAGUUCAGACCGGACGCCU